UACGUAGGGGGCAAGCGUUGUCCGGAAUCAUUGGGCGUAAAGAGCGUGUAGGCGGCCCGGUAAGUCCGCUGUGAAAGUCCAGGGCUCAACCCUGGGAUGCCGGUGGAUACUGUCGGGCUCGAGUCCGGAAGAGGAGUGUGGAAUUCCUGGUGUAGCGGUGAAAUGCGCAGAUAUCAGGAGGAACACCAAUGGCAAAGGCAGCACUCUGGGACGUGACUGACGCUGAGACGCGAAAGCGUGGGGAGCAAACAGG
rnacentral:rRNA from 1 species